UACGUAGGGUGCAAGCGUUAAUCGGAAUUACUGGGCGUAAAGCGUGCGCAGGCGGUUUUGUAAGUCCUGUCGUGAAAUCCCCGGGCUCAACCUGGGAAUUGCGAUGGAGACUGCAAGGCUAGAAUCUGGCAGAGGGGGGUAGAAUUCCACGUGUAGCAGUGAAAUGCGUAGAGAUGUGGAGGAACACCGAUGGCGAAGGCAGCCCCCUGGGUCAAG
rnacentral:rRNA from 1 species